AGUGAACGCUGGCGGUAGGCCUAACACAUGCAAGUCGAACGGCAGCACAGUAAGAGCUUGCUCUUACGGGUGGCGAGUGGCGGACGGGUGAGGAAUACAUCGGAAUCUACUUUUUCGUGGGGGAUAACGUAGGGAAACUUACGCUAAUACCGCAUACGACCUACGGGUGAAAGCAGGGGAUCUUCGGACCUUGCGCGAUUGAAUGAGCCGAUGUCGGAUUAGCUAGUUGGCGGGGUAAAGGCCCACCAAGGCGACGAUCCGUAGCUGGUCUGAGAGGAUGAUCAGCCACACUGGAACUGAGACACGGUCCAGACUCCUACGGGAGGCAGCAGUGGGGAAUAUUGGGCAAUGGGCGAAAGCCUGAUCCAGCCAUACCGCGUGGGUGAAGAAGGCCUUCGGGUUGUAAAGCCCUUUUGUUGGGAAAGAAAAGCAGCAGGUUAAUACCCCGCUGUUCCGACGGUACCCAAAGAAGAAGCACCGGCUAACUUCGUG
rnacentral:rRNA from 1 species